rnacentral:rRNA from 1 species
GACGAACGCUGGCGGCGUGCUUAACACAUGCAAGUCGAACGAAGUGGCGAACGGGUGAGUAAUACGUGGGUAACCUGCCCUCUUUUUUGGGAUAAGCCUUGGAAACGGGGUCUAAUACCGAAUAAAGGGGGAUGGGGUAGCGGCCAAUCAGCUUGUUGGUGGGGUGAUGGCCGAACAAGGCGGUGACGGGUAGCCGGGCUGAGAGGGUGACCGGCAACAUUGGGACGGAGAUACGGCCCAGGCUCGGAAGCGGGGCAGCAGGGGGGGCUAUUGCAGAAUGGGCGAAAGCCUGAUGCAGCGACGCCGCGUGGGGGAUGCAGGCUUUAGGGUUGUGAACCUCUUUCGGAAUCGAACGGGUAGGUAGAGAAGAAGCGCCGGCUAACUACGUGCCAGCAGCCGCGGUAAUAC